rnacentral:rRNA from 1 species
GACGAACGCUGGCGGCGUGCCUAAUACAUGCAAGUUGAGCGCUGAAGGUUGGUACUUGUACCAACUGGAUGAGCAGCGAACGGGUGAGUAACGCGUGGGGAAUCUGCCUUUGAGCGGGGGACAACAUUUGGAAACGAAUGCUAAUACCGCAUAAAAACUUUAAACACAAGUUUUAAGUUUGAAAGAUGCAAUUGCAUCACUCAAAGAUGAUCCCGCGUUGUAUUAGCUAGUUGGUGAGGUAAAGGCUCACCAAGGCGAUGAUACAUAGCCGACCUGAGAGGGUGAUCGGCCACAUUGGGACUGAGACAAGGCCCAAACUUCCACGGGAGGCAGCAGGAGGGAAUCUUCGGCAAUGGACGAAAGUCUGACCGAGCAACGCCGGGUGAGUGAAGAAGGUUUUCGGAUCGUAAAACUCUGUUGGUAGAGAAGAAAGUUGGUGAGAGUGGAAAGCUCAUCAAGUGACGGUAACUACACAGAAAGGGACGGCUAACUACGUG